rnacentral:rRNA from 1 species
UACGGGGGGGGCAAGCGUUGUUCGGAAUUACUGGGCGUAAAGCGCGUGUAGGCUGUUCGGUAAGUCGGAUGUGAAAGCCCUGGGCUUAACCCAGGAAGUGCAUUCGAAACUCGCGAACUGGAGUCCCGGAGAGGAAGGCGGAAUUCUCGGUGUAGAGGUGAAAUUCGUAGAUAUCGAGAGGAACAUCGGUGGCGAAGGCGGCCUGCUGGGACAGUGCUGACGCUGAGGCGCGACAGCGUGGGGAGCAAACAGG